rnacentral:lncRNA from 1 species
GAUACCUCCAAGCAAGCAGGUGUUCUUUUCAGAAGCCAGAAGCUGAUAACCUGGGCUUUCUGAUCUAACCCCAGCCCAAAUUCAUUGCAAUGGAGGAAUUGGGGAGGAGAUUCUUCCUACUGAGAAGUGGGUGCCAACUCUCCCUUUCAAAUUUGUUCAUCAACUAACUAAAGGGGAUGCCAGAAAUGUCUGGAGCAAUGGAAGAACCACUGGAAUAAUGCUCCUGCCUGAUUGCAUCUACUUAACCCACUCUCCAAGAGCCAGAAUCAGAUUUCAACCGUAUGGAAUCAUCUACAAUGCAGCAGAUGGGUUUACAAGUCUCUUGGUCUCUUCGUGAAGAAGGAGUAGCCAUCGUGUCCCAAGUCCUUGAGGACUUCACAGGGUGUUCUAGUGUCCUGAGAAUAUACCUGCCUAAGGGAGUAUCUGUUAGGGAGACUCCCAUGAGGGAAGGGAGCCGAGGGAAGAGGCUGAGUGAGGUGAAGAGAGUGUGUUUGUUCCUCCAGCUGUGCCAGGGUCUUCUCAGCCCUUCUCACAGAGGGCUGUCUGUGGACCUCUGUUCCUGGAAUCACCCCUCUGCACCACCCAAACUCCCUGAUUAUGAAUUACACAAUACAUCCCUAAUUCAA